rnacentral:tRNA from 1 species
GCCCGGAUAGCUCAGUUGGUAGAGCAGUAGACUGAAAAUCUACGUGUCCGUGGUUCGAUUCCGCGUCCGGGCACCA